rnacentral:rRNA from 1 species
GACAAUGGGCGCAAGCCUGAUCCAGCCAUGCCGCGUGCAGGAAGACUGCCCUAUGGGUUGUAAACUGCUUUUAUACGGGAAGAAUAAGUGUUACGUGUAGCACGAUGACGGUACCGUAAGAAUAAGCACCGGCUAACUCCGUGCCAGCAGCCGCGGUAAUACGGAGGAUUCGAGCGUUAUCCGGAAUCAUUGGGUUUAAAGGGUCCGCAGGCGGUUUUUUAAGUCAGAGGUGAAAUCCUGCAGCUCAACUGUAGAAUUGCCUUUGAUACUGAAAGACUUGAGUUAUUGUGAAGUGGUUAGAAUGUGUGGUGUAGCGGUGAAAUGCAUAGAUAUCACACAGAAUACCGAUUGCGAAGGCAGAUCACUAACAAUAUACUGACGCUCAGGGACGAAAGCGUGGGUAGCGAACAGGAUUAGAUACCCUGGUAGUCCACGCCGUAAACGAUGGAUACUAGCUGUCCGGUCUAAUUGAGGACUGGGUGGCCAAGCGAAAGUGAUAAGUAACCCACCUGGGGAGUACGUUCGCAAGAAUGAAACUCAAAGGAAUUGACGGGGGCCCGCACAAGCGGUGGAGCAUGUGGUUUAAUUCGAUGAUACGCGAGGAACCUUACC